AACGCGAAGAACCUUACCAGCCCUUGACAUCCCGGUCGCGGACUCCAGAGACGGAGUCCUUCAGUUCGGCUGGACCGGAGACAGGUGCUGCAUGGUUGUCGUCAGCUCGUGUCGUGAGAUGUUGGGUUAAGUCCCGCAACGAGCGCAACCCUUAAGCUUAGUUGCCAUCAUUAAGUUGGGCACUCUAAGUUGACUGCCGGUGACAAACCGGAGGAAGGUGGGGAUGACGUCAAAUCAUCAUGCCCCUUAUGAUUUGGGCUACACACGUGCUACAAUGGACAAUACAAAGGGCAGCUAAACCGCGAGGUCAUGCAAAUCCCAUAAAGUUGUUCUCAGUUCGGAUUGUAGUCUGCAACUCGACUACAUGAAGCUGGAAUCGCUAGUAAUCGUAGAUCAGCAUGCUACGGUGAAUACGUUCCCGGGCCUUUACACACCG
rnacentral:rRNA from 1 species